UCGGGUGUGGUGUACGGCGCACCGCUGCUACCCAUAAGCGUAAUGAAUAGGGUGUUUGCAGGUGGACGGGGUUCGAUUCCCCGCAUCCGAA